rnacentral:rRNA from 1 species
AAUCAACGCUGGCGGCGCGCUUAACACAUGCAAGUCGCACGAGAAAGUGGAGCAAUCCAUGAGUAAAGUGGCGUACGGGUGAGUAACACGUGGGUAAUCUGCCCUUCAGUGGGGAAUAACCCUGGGAAACCGGGGCUAAUACCGCAUAUUCUCGGGAGAGGAAAGCAGCGAUGCGCUGAAGGAGGAGCCCGCGGCCGAUUAGCUUGUUGGUAGGGUAAUGGCCUACCAAGGCUGUGAUCGGUAGCCGGCCUGAGAGGGCACACGGCCACACUGGCACUGAAACACGGGCCAGACUCCUACGGGAGGCAGCAGUGGGGAAUCUUGCACAAUGGGGGAAACCCUGAUGCAGCGACGCCGCGUGAGCGAUGAAGCCCUUCGGGGUGUAAAGCUCUUUCGGCAGGAACGAUAAUGACGGUACCUGAAGAAGAAGCUGCGGCUAACUACGUGCCAGCAGCCGCGGUAAUACGUAGGCAGCAAGCGUUGUUCGGAGUUACG